AUUGAACGCUGGCGGCAUGUCUUACACAUGCAAGUCGAACGGUAACAGGUCUUCGGAUGCUGACGAGUGGCGAACGGGUGAGUAAUACAUCGGAACGUGCCUAGUAGUGGGGGAUAACUACUCGAAAGAGUGGCUAAUACCGCAUGAGAUCUACGGAUGAAAGCAGGGGAUCGCGAGACCUUGUGCUACUAGAGCGGCCGAUGGCAGAUUAGGUAGUUGGUGGGAUAAAAGCUUACCAAGCCGACGAUCUGUAGCUGGUCUGAGAGGACGAUCAGCCACACUGGGACUGAGACACGGCCCAGACUCCUACGGGAGGAAGCAGUGGGGAAUUUUGGACAAUGGGCGCAAGCCUGAUCCAGCAAUGCCGCGUGCAGGAUGAAGGCCUUCGGGUUGUAAACUGCUUUUGUACGGAACGAAACGGUUCGGGUUAAUACCCUGGGCUAAUGACGGUACCGUAAGAAUAAGCACCGGCUAACUACAUGCCAGCCGCCGCAGUAACAC
rnacentral:rRNA from 1 species